AUCUUAAAUUUGCAUACAGGACAUGUUCGUUUUCGCCGGAGCCAUUGAUCGAUGCAGCUGGCAUGAAACUGGAUAGAAACAAAGAAGUAAAUUGAUCAGUCAUGUAUUGCACAUUACAUAAACAUACCAACCACUUGCAGCUUUGAGUAAUGUUAUAUUGCUAAAGUUGAGGAAUGAGUUGUAACUGAAGUAAAGUGCAGCAAUCAUGCUUUAAUUCAACAAAAACAGUAGCGAAUUUUAUAAAUUAAUCGAGGUUAGUUAUUUGACUGACAUUUGACAUAAAAAAUGGUGUAGAUACUGCACUCAGUGAAUGAAGUCGUUGGAUAAAGAUCUGAAGACUCGGUAUUCCAAUUUUCAACAAACCGGAUUCAGAAUAUGAACUAAAAAUAUGAGCUCUCAGAUAUUUUUCCAACGGCUCUAAUUUGCUGAUCGCAUUAAAUGCACCAUUUUUUCAAUCUGGCAGCAACAUGUGCAAGGUAUCCUUAGAAAUAUUUAUUGACUACUAAUCUCCAUUAGUGCUAAAUAAUUCUUUUUAUAACAAAAAAAAUGAUGAACGCAAAAGAUAGGCAGCGUUAAACCUGAUGCAAGCAUGGCAAGCUACGCACAAGUUCCCCCCUCUGAACUUGGUCCAAGCAUAUAGCACAAGUCAACCCAUCUUCUUGAUCAUUGGCACUUCCCUCUUCUCCUUUGAAAUCUUGCUUAAUCUGAUUCAAACAUUGGAUAAAAACAAACUAAAAUCCGGGAAAAUAAAAAAGUUGUGGAGCCAUGGAGAGCAUAAAGCUAACUACCAAAGCAAAAAACAAUAGAUUCAUUGAUAUCAUCACUACCAUGAAACACCUUCGUAACUCAAACAACUUAGUGAGACCAAAUAAACUAAAAGCAAAGGCGUAGAUAACGGAAAUGUUUACCUCAGCUGCCUCUGAAGAAGAGGAUGUCGAACCGGUGGAGCCACCUCUGUUAAUAGACAGAUUAUGUCAACUUAUUUACCAUGGCUUAGCAUUUCAUUAAAAAAACGCAGACACGCAAAAUGGAGAAAACAAAUCCUGUUAACCACUUUACCUUCUACAAGAAAGAACCUUGAAAAUAUAAAAUAAGAAACUAUCACAACUUACUUUAUUGGGCCAGUAACUUUAUGUUUGUGAAUAGGCAAGGCAUUUAUCUCCUCCUCAGACAUUGAACGAGUACCAAAAGCAAGAACUCUCAAAGUGUCAUAAUCUGCCACAAAAUGAAGCAAAAAGCUAAUGAAAAUGUAUACAUGAACAAAAAGGCAUUUUCUUUUGGCAUUGUCAACUUAAAUGAAUAUGAAAAGUUACACAUCCAAAAGUACAAUUCAGAAGCAUAAUACCUAUCUCAUUAAAAUCUCGGUCAAGAAGUGCAAGCUGGAGUCUAAGUCCCUGCAAUCUUCCUCCUGUUGCAAAUGCAAUAGAUGGUGGCACGCGAACUCGUAAUUCAGCAUGGCCAAGUAACCCAGAGGCUGCUGCAGCAUGAGCCCUGGCCUGUGAUUGAAGAUGCAGAUAAAUUGCAUACGCCCUCAGACUUGUAACCAUCACAAAGACCGACAGUAUUAUCCAGCGCUGAAAAGGAUAAGGGUCAAUGUUAAUAUGAAAUCUAGUAGCAUAUACACAUUCAAUUUUAAGUAAUUACUUACCAAAAAAUAAUAUAACAUCUGAGGGGAGUAUAAUAUCACGAAUAUCAUAAUAACUGAAAAAUAAGUACGAGUAAGUCAAAAAUCCAUUGAGAUUCUACAUACAGAAGAAAUAAAGCAAAAUGAGUACGAAAACUAAAAUAAAGUCAAAUUAUUUUUUAUAUAAGCUUUAAACUGUUUUCAUAAGUUAUCCUGGAAAGUUUAUGGAAACAAACUGAAAACAACUUGAGCAAAUCAUAAGUUGUUUCCAUAAGUUCUCCAAAACAGUUUGGCAAGUGUUUAUGUUAGUAGAUAAACUCAAAUAAAUUGAUCCAUGUAGACCCUGCUCACCUGCAAAAAGAAAAACUAGACAAUUGCUAUGGACUGGCCGAGAUGGACGAACCCGCUGAGGUAAAAAAGAGCAGCAUAAGAAUCACAAUCGAACUACGUACAAUCUGAGCUAUAUGAAAGAGAAAGAAAAAAAACAAGCAUGUUGUAUAAAGACUAACAUCAAGUAUCAACACACAUAAACAAUAAUAAGUAAUCAUACCAUUGAGGUUCUCUCAGGAACAUAUUCUGAAAAUCCGUUUUCAAUAUCUCCCCUACUCCCUCGAAAAGCAAAACUCAUGACUUCAGCCGAAAAUUGAUAACAACACAGCCUGCAAGUAUUACACCUUGAAUUUACUACACCAGGAUACGCUUAUCAAAACAAUUUUGGUGAUUGAUAUUUUUAAAGCAUCCAAAGUUAUUGAACUGAUUAUAUCCAUUUAUGGAACAAACAAAGCAUACAAACAGAUUUUCAGACACGCAACCCUACAGAUUUUCAGACACGCAACUCUACAGAUUUCCAGACACGUAACUCAUAAGUUGCAAAACUUUAACAUAUUAAUGAUUAAUCAUAACAAAACCAUUUUCAUUUUUGAAGAAAAUCCGACCUUUAGCACCUGGUCUUGACUAACUUUUCUAUAAAUAGACAAUUGGCUUCAUCAACAUACAUACAUUGCAUGCAAAACUACGCUUUAAAGCUAAACGAAUCUUUUCUUAAACCACCGGCUUGCAAAUGGAUAAUUGGCUUCAUUAAGCUACAAAAAUUGCUUGCAAAACUACACUUCAUAGCUAUACGGAUCUAUUCUUGCAAAACCGGCCUACAAAUAGAUAAUUGGCUUCAUCAACAUACAUACAUUGUGUGCAAAACUACGCGUUAAAGCUAAACGAAUAUAUUCUUACAACACAACCGGCUUACAAAUGGAUAAUUUGCUUCAUUAAUCUAAACAAACAUGAGUAAUGAUAUUUUUACAACCAUUUGGUGACAACUCUUGUGACAACCUUCUCUUUCUCUCUUCGUAUUGGUCAACAACAAUAGAAAGAGAAAAAGGAAGAAAGAGAGUAAACACAUGAUGUGAGUAUGAGAGAGAGAGAGAGAGAGAGAGAGAGAGAGAGAGUUGUUCAAAAGUUGUCAUAAAAUGGUUGUACAAAUAUCAUUUCUCUAGCUAUCUGGAUCUAUUCUUGCAAAACUGACAUACAAAUAGAUAAUUGGCUUCAUCAACAUACAUACAUUGCCUGCAAAACUACGCUUUAAAGCUAAACGAAUUUAUUCUUACAACACCGGCUUGUAAGGUGAUGACUAACCCCCCUCAUGCAUAGGACCAGACAUCUAGAGCAUGAUACGAGUGGCCUCAUAGCAAGUGUAAACACAAUUUCAAAACAGUUCUUGUAAGGUGAGGACUAACCACCAAUUGUAAACACAAUUUCAGGCUUUUCAUCUAAUACGGGACUCUUAACAUCUAUCUUCGAAGAUUAUAUUUUAAUGCAAAAAAUUCAUUGACACUCUAAUAUUGUAGCACAAGCUUCACCUUCCAAUUGAUUCAUGCUAUAUAUUUUAAGUGGUGCACAUUUCAGGAAUAUUGAAGAAUUAAUAAUAUGUCCCUUCGUUACUUUAAUAGAUAGAUUACAUUCUUAAUUAUUCAAGCCAAGCAAAGGGUACGGCCCAAUUCCAAAAAUAUAUACAUAUAUUUAUAUAACUCAGGACAUCGCGCACUUCACAGCCAUAUCUGAAUAAUACUACACAAUAUCUGAAUCAUCCGACUCGCACGCAUUGUUACUUAGCCAUCCCGCCCCCAUCUUAAAUUUGCAUACAGGACAUGUUCGUUUUCGCCGGAGCCAUUGAUCAAUGCAGCUGGCAUGAAACUGGAUAGAAAGAAAGAAGUAAAUUGAUCAUUUGUCUCUCUUGAUCAUUUAUGUAUUGCACAUUACAUACCAACCACUUGCAGCUUUGAGUAAUGCUAUAUUGCUAAAGUUGAGGAAUGAGUUGUAACUGAAGUAAAGUGCAGCAAUCAUGCUUUGAUUCAACAAAAACAGUAGCAAAACCACCAAAAAAAAACAAAAAACAGUAGCAAAAUUUAUAAAUUAAUCAAGGUUAGUUACUUGACUGACAUUUGACAUAUAAAAUGGUGUAGAUACUGCACUCGGUGAAUGAAGUCAUUGGAUAAAGAUCUGAAGACUCGGUAUUCCAAUUUUCAACAAACCGGAUUCAGAUUAUGAACUCAAAAUAUGAGUCUCAAAUAUUUUUCCAACGGCUCUAAUUUGCUGACCGCAUUAACUGCACCAUUUUUUCAAUCUGGCAGCAACAUGUGCAAGGUAUCCUUUGAAACAUCGCGGAAAUGUGUUUGGUAAAAUAUGUAUUGGCUUUUGGUUUAGAUUAGACCAAUUAAAAAAAAAAGUAGCAGAAAUGACCAAAAUUGAUAGCAUGAUUUAAGAGCUAUGAAGAACUAUUCUCCCAAUGUCAAAAAGAUAAAAAUAGAAAUUAGCAACUUCAUAUGCUUUAUCUCAAUUAGCCAAGUUAAUGGAUUUGACUGGAAUGUGAGGAGAAAAUUAAGGAGCGCGCAACUUUACAUCGCUGUAGGUGGCACUGAAUUAACACAAUAUAAAGAAGCACUAAUCUCCAUUAGUGCUAGAUAAUUCUUUUUAUAACAAAAAAAAUGGUGAAUGCAAAAGAUAGGCAGUGUUAAACCUGAUGCAAGCAUGGCAAGCUACGCACAAGUUCCCCCCUCUGAACUUGGUCCAAGCAUAUAGCACAAGUCAAUCCAUCUUCUUGAUCAUUGGCACUUCCCUCUUCUCCUUUACAAUCUUGUUUAAUCUGAUUCAAACAUUGGAAAAAACAAACUAAAAUCUCUUCCUAUUCCAGGAAAAUAAAAAAGUUGUGGAGCCAUUGAGUGCAUAAAGCUAACUACCGAAGCAAAAAACAAUAGUUGCAUUGAUAUCAUCACUACCAUGAAACUCCGUUGUAACUCAAACAACUUAGUGAGACCAAAUAAACUAAAAGCAAAAGCGUAGAUAACAGAGAUAUUUACCUCAGCUGCCUCUGAAGAAGAGGAUGUCGAACCGGUGGAGCCAUCUCUGUUAAUAUAAACAAAUUAUGUCAACUUAUUUUCCAUGGCUUAGCAUUUCAUUAAAAAAACGCAGACACGCAAAAUGGAGAAAACAAUCCUGUUAACCACUUUACUUUCUACAAGAACCUUGAAAAUAAAAAAUAAGAAACUACACAGCUUACUUUAUUGGGCCAGUAACUUUAUGUUUGUGAAUAGGCAAGGCAUUUAUCUCCUCCUCACUCAUUGAAGGAGUACCAAAAGCAAGAACUCUCAAAGUGUCAUAAUCUGCCACAAAAUGAAGCAAAAAGCUAAUGAAAAUGUAUACAUGAACAAAAAGGCAUUUUCUUUUGGCAUUGUCAACUUAAAUGAAUAUGAAAAGUUACACAUCCAAAAGUGCAAUUCAGAAGUAUAAUACCUAUCUCAUUAAAAUUUCGGUCAAGAAGUGCAAGCUGGAGUCUAAGUCCCUGCAAUCUUCCUCCUGUUGCAAAUGCAAUAGAUGGUGGCACGUGAACUCGUAAUUCAGCAUGGCCAAGUAACCCAGAGGCUGCUGCAGCAUGAGCCCUGGCCUGUGAUUGAAGAUGCAGAUAAAUUGCAUACGCCCUCAGACUUGUAACCAUCACAAAGACCGACAGUAUUAUCCAGCGCUGAAAAGGAUAAGGGUCGAUGGUAAUAUGAAAUCUAGUAGAAUAUACACAUUAA
rnacentral:lncRNA from 1 species